rnacentral:rRNA from 1 species
UACGUAGGGAGCAAGCGUUGUCCGGAAUCAUUGGGCGUAAAGCGCGCGUAGGCGGCCCUGUAAGUCCGUUGUGAAAGUCAAAGGCUCAACCUUUGAAAGCCGAUGGAUACUGCAGGGCUGGAGUCCGGAAGAGGCGAGUGGAAUUCCUGGUGUAGCGGUGGAAUGCGCAGAUAUCAGGAGGAACACCGGUGGCGAAGGCGGUUCUCUGGGCAUGUCCUGACGCUGAGGAGCGAAAGUGUGGGGAGCGAACAGG